CUAGUCCUGGUUGCCUUCUUUUUGUUGGUCACUAGGGAGGUUCCCGCUGGCCUCGUGGCUGAACCCAUGUGGCUUCUGUCAGCAGCGGGAGAGCCAUUCCUAAGAGCUGAGACAGUGAGUCAGCCCUCAGUUCAUUGCCCAGGGAAGAUUCCUUUUUCACCGAUUAUGCAAUGUCACCCAGGCUGUGUUUUCCUUAGUGGAAUCCAAGAUGUGGAAUCAUGAAAUUGGAAACCAACCACCUUUUUGCCGUGGACCUGGAAAAGAUGAAAAAAAGAAUGGAUUUUGCCUCAAACUGAGUUCCCUUGCUACCAGUAAAGGCUUACAGAGACAGGGAGGAGUAAGGACUCUGGGAAGAGGAGGUAGCAAAGCAAAGAACAAUUUCAUUUUCUCCUCUGCAGUAAGAAAGCAAAAGAUCCAUUAGAUGAGAAAAUGUAUGUGAAAGCACUUAGCACAGUGCUUGGCAAAUAGAUGGGAUUCAAUAAUAUUGACUUUUUUGUUUUAUCUGUGCUCAGUGUAGGGACUCAUAAGGAAGUUUAGGGUGUAAGAAGAAUAAACAGGGGAGCCAGUGGAAGUAAGAGAAUGUUCUCUACCUGGAUGAUGGUUAAAAUUUUGCCAUUAGAGUUUCUUUCCUUUGACUCUAUUAAAAAUUGGAGAUAAAACUCAUUA